GUGGAUUACUUAAUGCUUUCGCUCAGUCACGCACGAUGUAUUGUGCACAACGAGUAAUCAUCGUUUACCGCGUGGACUACCAGGGUAUCUAAUCCUGUUCGCUCCCCACGCUUUCGUCCAUCAGCGUCAAUAAUGGCUUAGUAAGCUGCCUUCGCAAUUGGUGUUCUACGUUAUAUCUAUGCAUUUCACCGCUACAUAACGUAUUCCGCCUACCUCAACCAUAUUCAAGUUCUUCAGUUUCAAUGGCAGUUCCAGAGUUGAGCUCUGGGAUUUCACCACUGACUUAAAGAACCGCCUACGGACCCUUUAAACCCAAUAAAUCCGGAUAACGCUCGAAUCCUCCGUAUUACCGCGGCUGCUGGCACGGAGUUAGCCGAUCCUUAUUCAUACAGUACAUUCAAAUCACUACACGUAGCGACAAUUAUUCCUGUAAAAAAGCAGUUUACAACCCAUAGGGCCGUCAUCCUGCACGCGACAUGGCUGGUUCAGACUUGCGUCCAUUGACCAAUAUUCCUCACUGCUGCCUCCCGUAGAGUCUGGUCCGUGUCUCAGUACCAGUGUGGGGGACUAUCCUCUCAGACCCCCUAAGCAUCAUUGUCUUGGUGAGCCGUUACCUCACCAACUAACUAAUGCUACGCAUGCCAUCUUAUACCACCGGAGUUUUAAUAUUUAACCAUGCGAUUCAACAUAUUAUGCGGUAUUAAUCAGAUUUCUCUGGGCUAUCCCAGUAUAGGUAGGUUGCAUACGCGUUACUCACCGUGCGCGGUCGCAUCUUCUAGCAAGCUAGAAUGUGCCCUCGACUUG
rnacentral:rRNA from 1 species